rnacentral:lncRNA from 1 species
AGAUGAUCGCCACCGUGGUAGUCAGAAACAACGUCCACGUGGCGCCGUAGACGAAAAGCGGAACCCGCCAGGCGAAUCGGUGAGUCAGAGAUGAGAAAAGAUUGCGAAUCAUUUUGGGUUUGAAGUUUUUUUUUUUGUUUUAAAGGUUUCAACUUUAUCUCUCUUUACUCUUUAUGGGUUUGGAGUUCGAUACCAAUCGUGAAAUAGUACUUGUGCCAUAGAAAAUGGAGUAGUUUCGAUGAAGGAGAUAAGUAGAGAAGAGAGGAUAACCUAAUCUCACCUGCUGCUCUUACUAGUUUUGCUAACGACGAAUUGAGGAUAAACUUUGAAACGACCACAUUAAUCGCCGUUUUUGUGUCGUUAUCUAUGUUCUGAUAUUGUUAAACUAGAAGAAGUUGGUCAGAUUCACAUUCACACCUAUGCAUCGUUUGCUGAUUGUAAUGUUGUGUUUUGG